ACAGGUGCUGCAUGGCUGUCGUCAGCUCGUGUCGUGAGAUGUUGGGUUAAGUCCCGCAACGAGCGCAACCCUUAUCAUUAGUUGCUACGCAAGGGCACUCUAAUGAGACUGCCGGUGGACAAACCGGAGGAAGGUGGGGAUGACGUCAAGUCCUCAUGGCCCUUAUGGGUAGGGCUUCACACGUCAUACAAUGGUCGGUACAGAGGGUUGCCAAGCCGCGAGGCGGAGCCAAUCCCACAAAGCCGAUCGUAGUCCGGAUUGUUCUCUGCAACUCGAGAGCAUGAAGUUGGAAUCGCUAGUAAUCGCAGAUCAGCACGCUGCGGUCGAAUACGUUCCCGGGCCUU
rnacentral:rRNA from 1 species